rnacentral:tRNA from 1 species
GGGGUUGUGGCUCAGAGGUAGAGCAUCUGCCUACCAUGCAGGAGGCACUGAGUUCAAUCCUCAGCACCA